rnacentral:piRNA from 1 species
UAAAACGAGAACUGGCAUGAU